AACAAGAUCAACUAUCUCCAAAACCAGAUUUGCGUUCUUAAACUCUACUCUGUCUGGUUUUUACUUUGCCAUGUUUAUCAUGUUUCCUCGUUGUUUGUUUGUUUGCUUUUGUGUGAGUUUAUGUUUGAAACAUUGAGGACAAUGUUAGAUUUAAGUGUGGGGGGGUAAACAAGUUGCUGUUGCAUGAUUUUCGUGGGAUUUUAUUCACCUAUCACUUACAAUGUUGUUUCUUGCUGUUUUAAGUGUUUUUAGUGUGUUUUUAAGCAUGUUAGUAUGUUUUGACAUAAAAAUCCGAAAAUUUGACAAAAGUUUGAAAAAAUUGUUUUGAAAAAGCCAAAAAGAGUUGUUUUUGUGUGUUUGUUUGUGUCUUAGGGUACCUUCCAACACAAUAAUGAGGAUUUGGUUUGUUAAUUGCAUGACUGUUAAAGAAAGUUAUAAACAUGGAUGGAAGUUUGAUAUGCUCUUGAUUUAUGCUUGGUUAUAGUUAUAGUUUACGAAUUCACAUGUAAUCACAAAGAAAAAAAUCAGUUUUUGUAACAUGCUUGAAGGAAGGAACUCAAACUAACACUACAACCUUGAGAGACUUGAGCCUAAUACGUUCUUUGGAGAGUUAUUAAUCUGUGCAUUUUUGUUUUCUAAAGUCGUUGCAUGAUCUCAUCAUUCUUUGCUUGGUUGCUACUUAGAAUGCGUUUCAUCAUUUAGUUCCAAAUACUAGAACUUAUGCCCGUUCCAUUCAAAGCAUGACAUUGAUUUGCAUAACACAUAUUCAAGAUGAAGUUGUGUAGUGAACUAGAGCCAAAAAGCUUAUCCCGUGCAUAUUUGUUUAAGUUUAACCCCGUUGAGCCUUGUUUAGCCUGUUUUCUUUGUUAAACCACAUUUCCCUUACCUAGCCUAGAUUAGGACUAUCCAUACCCUUGUUUUUAAAGCAUAAUGAAGCAUGACUUAAAAUGAAUUCCUUUUGAUUGUCCUUAUGCAGAAAACAAGUGUGGGGGAAUGAGAUUUUUGUGUUUUGUGUGCCAAAAGAAAGUAAUAAGGCACGGGUUAGAAAAGAAAAAGAAAAAAAGAAAAGAAAAAGUGUUGAAAAGAAAAGAAAAAGAGUUUGAAAUAAGUGAGGAAAGGCUCACAAGUGUUGUUUGUUGUAGAAAGGGUCCAAAAAGUUGAAAUCGGCCCUAAAAAGUUGAAUGAAUAACCCCAUUGUGUUUAAAGUUAGUUGCUGCAUUCAAAGGGAAUUCUAAGCAUCAAUUUCAUUACUUUGCUUAUUAUGCUUUAAAAAUGUUUGUUUCCUUACCUUUCAUUGUUAGCCAAUCACCCCUAACCCCGUUACAACCCUUAACUUCAAUCUUGAGUGUUAUGUGUUUCAAUAUGUGGAGUUUGGGAUUGGUACGAGCAUAUGGUGUCCCUGGUUCUCGCAUCUAAGUAGUAGCAUUCCAGUCAUGAGAUCAUAUCUAUACAUGCUUAAUAACUCCAGAAAUUGCUUUCUUUGCUAUAAAACAUAUGUGAGUGUUCGUUUUCAUGUUUACAUCAAUCUUCUCACAUACACCUAGUGUAGGGUGUGUAGUCAGAAAAAUCGGAGUGAAAAUAAGAGUGUAUCUUGUAAGGAAUUGAGCAGAUUCUCUAAGGCAUGUUACUACAUUCAAAACAUAGUUUUAAUUGGUUAUAUGUGAACUAGUAUGUGGUGACUAUGAUUAAGUAUGUGCUCAAGGGUAGGGAAGGCCAAAAUAUGUGGUUAUGAUGAUCUUUUGCAUGUCAUGUUGCAUUGAAAAUCCCUAAGGUAAAUAUUGGAAGGUUUAGGUUUUGUUUUGUUCUUAUGUUUUGUUUCUUUGUUUUACUCGAGGACUAGCAAAAGCUAAGUGUGGGGGAAUUUGAUAGGAGCAUAUUUAUGCGACUUAGUAUGUUUGUUUUCGUGCAUUUAUGUUCUUAGUUCUUAGUUAUGUUAGUAGUUUAAGCCAUUUUUUUGUGUUUGUAGGUUCUAUGGGCCAAGGAUGCAAGAAGAUGCAUUUUGGAGCAUUUUGGAGCAUUUU
rnacentral:lncRNA from 1 species